GGAGUAAAAGUCGUAACAAGGUUUCCGUAGGUGAACCUGCGGAAGGAUCAUUAAUGUGUUUGGGCCUCACGGCUCUUCAUUCCGACGCUGUGCGCCUUCGGGCUGCACGCUGAGGGAGCAUAUAUCCACCCCUGUGCGCACACACGGUGGCGAGCUGGGUAACGGCUCGCCGCUGAUCUUUACACACGUCUAAAAGUCAUUGUAUGUUUAUUUGAGAUAAAAACACAACUUUCAGCAACGGAUCUCUUGGCUCUC
rnacentral:misc_RNA from 1 species